rnacentral:rRNA from 1 species
UCAGAUCAGGCGGGAUAACCCGCUGAAUUUAAGCAUAUUACUAGGCGGAGGAAAAGAAACUAACAAGGAUUCCCUUAGUAACGGCGAGCGAACAGGGAACAGCUCAUCGCCGAACCCUGCUCUCAUGUUGGGAGUUAGGGGCUGUGGCGUUUGGGAAGUCCUUUCCUAGAAGGUCUCUACGGAGUCAGUCGAAGUCCGCUUGAACGCGGCUCGCGCCCAUAGAGGGUGACAGGCCCGUACGACGACUCUGACCAGGAGCUAAGAGGGCUAUCCCUGGAGUCGGGUUGCUUGAUAGUGCAGCCCUAAGCGGGUGGUAAACUCCAUCUAAAGCUAAAUACGACCACGAGACCGAUAGCGAACAAGUACCGUGAGGGAAAGUUGAAAAGAACUUUGAAGAGAGAGUUCAAGAGUACGUGAAACCGUUCAGAGGUAAAACGGGUGGUGCCUCGAUGCCGAAAGGGAGAUUCAGCCUUCAACGAUGGUCGCGGCUUGCGCUGUUUGGAUCGAUGCCUAACAAGCACGUCUAAUCCCGCGCAAGUUUCCGCGGCGUCGUGAGGCGCAAUUUUCCCCUGUAGGACGCCGCGAGCGAAUGGUAUUCUUGGCCGAUUGUUGCGCUGCGGAGGUAGGUUUCUACGCGUUAUUUUCGUAGUGUAUGCUGCGAAGAGCGCAUGUAGAGCUUAUAGCUCUUGCAGGUAUCGUAACUUCGGUUGCCGUUCGUCGUAUUGGCGGAAGCUUGACAGGCGAAAGCUUGUCAAACGUUUGUCGCGUCGUAGCCGCGAAGGGGCGUUCCCCUCCUGAUUCUCGUAAUCGGGCUGCUUGGGAAUCAUCAGCUUACCUUCGCGUUACGCGCGUAACUGGCAAACGAUGCUUCUUGCGGCGAUAUCGACGGUGUACUUCCCGACCCGUCUUGAAACACGGACCAAGGAGUCCAGCAUGUGCGCGAGUCGUCGGGCAUCUACUGUAGCAUACCCGAAGGCGCAAUGAAAGUGAAGCGAGCCGUUAGCUGGCGUCUUGGUCGCUGAUAUCCGAAAUAAAAUCACACAGGAUAGAUGUCCCGGCCCGCCCUGAGGUUUCUCGGGUCAACGGGCCGGCGGAUUCGGGGUAAAGGCCGAGGAAACGCGGCGCGGUGAGUUCGCGUGGGAAGAUCUGACUCUUGCUAUGAGACGGAGUUCGGAGCACUCCCGGGACGUUUCGUAACGCCACAUCGACGUCGGAGCGUACCUAUAGCGUACAUGCUGGGACCCGAAAGAUGGUGAACUAUGCCUGGCCAGGAC